rnacentral:rRNA from 1 species
AGAAUCAACGCUGGCGGCGUGCCUAACACAUGCAAGUCGCACGAGAAAGGGACUUCGGUCCUGAGUAAAGUGGCGCACGGGUGAGUAACACGUGAAUCAUCCUACCCUCGAGUGGGGGAAUAACCUAGAGAAAUCUGGGCUAAUACCGCAUAACACUUACGAGUCAAAGCAGCAAUGCGCUUGGGGAGGAGUUCGCGGCCGAUUAGCUAGUUGGCGGGGUAAUGGCCCACAAGGCGAUGAUCGGUA